GUCUAUGACCUGGUCCGCGUGCUUAAUAACGUCUGUCCUGUUGGCGGCCCGAGAGCUCUGUUCUAGGAGAAGAAACGACGAAAAAUGGGCUACAAAGUGCUUCAGUCAUUCGACAAGAACAUGCUCUGUCUUACGUCUGUGUCUCCCAAACAGGACUUUUCCUGGUAUAAUAGUGUCUUCCCUUUAAUAAAUAGAUUUAAUCCAGUUAUAUUUGGGAGGAUUAUGAAUAUUGUGACAUAGGUUUCCACAAUCUUCGCCAGGCAGCACUGGAGAAUACGACUCCCAAGAUGACAUACCUUUGCCAGUAAUCAAAGCCAGUGACUUGACGACUCAGGUGAUUCAUCUCAACCAAAAGAAAGAUUUGUGCCGUUCUGGACAACAAAAACUUUGCAAAACUAUGAUUGAUUGCUUCAUUUCAUCAGCCUCCUCUUUGCUGGUCAUGAUGUCAGUCUUCCUUGGCAUCAAUUUCAGACAUAGAGAAGCACAUUAAAAAGUAUGAAUAAAUGAAGAUGUUAGAGAAAAAAGAAACAUUAUUUGCCUUUCCAUCAGCAACUGAAGGUGAGCCCAUUGCAAACGAACCUACAAGAGAGAGACAGCAUCAGACUGACACUUCCCACGCUGCAAUGUUAAGCCUUUAAAAUACAACAAUCAGAUUUUAAAAGUUCUAACUCUUGAGUAUUUAAAAUAAAAUUUCAGAUGUUCUGUUGUAUCCCAGAAGUUUACUUUAUGAGCGUUAUUUAUGGUAGGUCCAAUAUUGGUUUUUAAUA